rnacentral:lncRNA from 1 species
GGAGGAUACAGUUGCUGGUGACAUCUUUCAGUUGAAGCCUCACUGUGGGCUUCAUCACACCUGGCUGGAAAAAGAUGGAAAACUCACAGACUUCCAGAUUGGAUCCGAACACUCUCAGGAACAAGCCUGCAAUGCCCGAAGAAGAGGCCUGUGAGCCUGACACAGCCAGGCAUGACCCAACGCUGGACAAUCUCACCGUCGUUGAUCUGGGAAGAAACUCCAGACAGGACUUCUUGAGCAGAGGAUAA